UACGUAGGUGGCGAGCGUUAUCCGGAAUUAUUGGGCGUAAAGCGCGCGCAGGCGGUUUCUUAAGUCUGAUGUGAAAGCCCACGGCUCAACCGUGGAUGGCCAUUGGAAACUGGGAGACUUGAGUGCAGAAGAGAAGAGUGGAAUUCCACGUGUAGCGGUGAAAUGCGUAGAGAUGUGGAGGAACACCAGUGGCGAAGGCGACUCUUUGGUCUGUAACUGACGCUGAGGCGCGAAAGCGUGGGGAGCAAACAGG
rnacentral:rRNA from 1 species